rnacentral:rRNA from 1 species
CCUACGGGAGGCAGCAGUGAGGAAUAUUGGUCAAUGGGCUUACGCCUGAACCAGCCAAGUCGCGUGAGGGAAGACUGCCCUAUGGGUUGUAAACCUCUUUUGUCAGGGAGCAAUUGGCGCUACGUGUAGCGUUAUCGAGAGUACCUGAAGAAAAAGCAUCGGCUAACUCCGUGCCAGCAGCCGCGGUAAUACGGAGGAUGCGAGCGUUAUCCGGAUUUAUUUGGUUUAAAGGGUGCGUAGGCGGAAUGCCAAGUCAGCGGUAAAAUCGCGGGGCUCAACCUCGCUCCGCCGUUGAAACUGGCGUUAUUGAGUGGGCGAGAAGUAUGCGGAAUGCGUGGUGUAGUGGUGAAAUGCAUAGAUAUCACGCAGAACUCCGAUUGCGAAGGCAAGUGUCCGGGGUGCAACUGACGCUGAGGCUCGAAAGUGCGGGUAUCAAACAGGAUUAGAUACCCCUGUAGUC